rnacentral:lncRNA from 1 species
AUGUUGGCAUCUACCCUGGCUACAGUACUGGUCCCGAAUUGGAGAGUCAGAUCCAGGAGGCAGAAGCAGGAGGUUGCAGAUGAAACUGUAGUAAGCAGACUGGACGUUAGCUCAUCUGAACCACUGAGAACAGAUGGAUCUCAACUCCGAGAUGUGUUUCCAGAGUUAAGCAGCAGGAACAACCCUUCAGCAAGGCUGACUGAGGAGCAGAUUGGGAGCAGCUCAUCCAAUGUAAGAACACAUGUAUCUACAAAACUACAUCUUUCUAACUCCUUCACAGUGGACAUGAGUGGGGGUUUACAGGACAGAGCGGAUGUUGCUCCUCCUAUGACAGGACCACCCGCAUCAGCUCAAGCACCCACAUCACCUCGGAACCUGAGCCACCAGCAGCCAAGGAUGACGUCACAGCCUGGUGCUGAGCAAAGAACAUUUUCUUCUCCAUGGUCCAGCUCUACCCCCAGCAGCUUGCUUUUCUCCCUCAGGCGCCUGAACUCAAGUUCUCGAGACACAAACCCCACCUCUCCAACCUCCCCCAGCAAAAAAGUUUUCCGGAUGUCCCAGCAGCAGUCAUCUGGGGCUUUACAAAACAGCAGAGCAGAGACGUUUAGGUCACAAACACCACCGACUUCCUUUAACAAAAAAGCAGAUGGAUCUGCCAUGCAUCUUGGCAGCAGAGAGGCUAAAACGACAGUUUUUAUAUUUUCUUCUUCAGAAGGAGACCAGGAACUACAGAAGCCGCAAACCACAGGUCCAACUGAAACAUCCUUCUUUCAGAGAGGACUGUCAACUCCUUCCAUGUUAAAAUAUAGCAGCCUGGACUUCUCCACAGCUCCACAGCACAGGACAACACCUGGUUCCAUGUUGCAUAGACAGAGGUUCAUACCACCAAACCUGGACAACACUGAGACACGGACGAUGAGCAGUCCUGACACUUCCGGUCCAAAUCCUUUACAUAGCCCUCAAAACCUUAAUUCCCUUAUUUUUACAAGACAUGGCUCACCCAAUAGUGCAGUCCACCACCAUGAAAGGUCCUUCAGUUCCUUGUCCUCCAUGGAGAGUGUGUGCUCUUCCUUAAGACAGAGAUCCUUCACAGAUAGCCUGUCUCCCUCUGAUGAUAAGAUUUUCCCCUCCGUUGAGAGAACAGACCCAUCCCAUGUCUGGCAGAAAUAUCUAGACUCUGGUGGCUCCCUUAGGAGACAACCUCUGUCGACUCAGAGCCCUGGAGCGAUGCCCAAUCCCCUCUCUCCGACGAGGCCUCUCCGAAGUGUCCGAGCUCCAGACAUUUACUCAUCCCUAAGACCCAAUAGCCAAACUUUAUCCUCUUCAUCAUCCCCAAAUGCCUGCACUCUGCAGUUAGAAAGGAGAGAGGUACCUGUUACAUCUGCAUCACCCGAGUGGGAUGCAGUCAUGCCGUGGGGCCAGAAAAUGUCCUCUCCUGCUAAAGGCUCAACUUCAAGAUUUAAUUCUGAUUUGAGUUCACCUCAGAUCCUGGAUAAUAAAGAAGUCCUCAAGAGCAGGUCACCACUGUCUCUUCCUCCAGACCUUGGAAGUAACCUGAAGGCUCGCUUCAGUUCGUCCCCCUAUUUCAGCCUCAUAUCUGCACGAAUGUCACCAAAUUCAGAUACUUCGCCUCCGCUGGUCUCACCAGUACAAGAUAAAUCUUUACCAUGUGAUCAAACAGCCACAGUGUUGGACACAAGUACUGCAGGCAGACAUUUUCAGUCACCUCUAAGUGCCUCAAGUGUAUUGGCGAAAUCCCAGAUUGAUCACACUGAUUCUCCUGAUAAUCAUAUGUUGGUAUUCAGGCCAGUAGGACCUCAGGGGCUUACUGCAAGAUACUUGCAAGAUACCCAUGAUGGAAAUGUUGCUGGGGAAAACACAUUCCCAUGUCAAUCCUCUGCUCCCUCCAAGUGGCAACUGAUCAGUGAACCAGAUUCCCAUCAGAGGACCACGACUCAGUUUACUAUUAGUAGCAUCAAAAAGGAGGACAUUGUGGAUGGUCGUGUGAAAGAUAAUCAGGCCGCCAGUGAGGGUAAACAUUUCAGCAGCAGUCCUGUAACAGAGAACCAGAAAAGGAAAAGGAGUCUCUUUGCAUUAAGUUCUCAGAAGGAAAAUGUCAGUCCUUCAUGUCCUAGUCUAUCAAAAGAUGCUCAUGUUGAGAAGAAUGGAUCAAGCGGAUCAAAGAUGGAUCAAGUGCUGAACCGAAUCAGACAGACUUUCAGCAUAAAACGUGCAGAACAAGAGAGUCCAACUCUGAAAAAGAAGGAGAAAUUUUUACUGAAGUCAUCUGGAAGUGAGUCUUCUGCGGAAUCGUGUAGAGGGGGCAGACUGGAAGGUCCAUCUCUGAAGAAGGAGAUUUCUGUUCCUUCAGACAUCAGAAAGUCAGCUGGUGCCACGCAGCUGCCUUACCAGGAUUCUAAAAAGCCAAUGACUUCUCAGGUCCAAAAAGAUCAGCAGAACCAUGAAUUAGUUUUGGACAAAACUAGAAAUAAAUCUGUCCAAAAGGAUUAUAGUGCUAACAGACAGUCCAGUCAUGGAAACCGCUAUGCUACACUUCCAGCUUAUCGGAAGAUGUCAGCAAGUUCCUCCAACCUCUACAGCGCCUUGCGUUUUGAUUUAGAAGACGAGGACAAUGAAGUCAAGUUUUACAGAAGAAUCAUGCCCCAGAGAAGAAACACAUCUCUGAGUGAGGCUGAGGACAAUCUAGUCUCCAGCAGUUCUGCACAUGGCAAAGAAAGACACUACAGCGGAGGACCUUCUCCUUUCUAUACCGAUGUGAAGUAUGGUCUGGACCGCAGGCGCUCCUGUUCAGUGACAAACGUCUUCUCAAGCCGCCCCUCAGGUCCCGGUCGCAUCUCAACCGCCUCAAAGACAAGCAGCGUCAGUGACCUUUCAUGUCCACCCGACCUUAUUAACUCGGAUGAUGUGUUUUAUCAGAUGACAAGCAGCCCUGGUGGCCCUCAGAGUCACAAACUGAGAACCACGCAGCACCGAUCAGACCCCAGUCCUCAAGCUGAGGCAACAAGCAGGAGUCCAAGUAGUCCGGAGAGCACUUACUUCCCAUGGGAUAAGGAAUCUGACCCUACCCCGCCCCCAUCACCGCCAUUCUCGCCCACCAGCAGACGUAUGGCGCGGAUCCCCAGCUCCUCCUCCACCGGCAGCCGGACUUCGCAGGACAGCUUGUCGCCAAGAGGACUCUUACCGUCCAAGAGUUACAAGGCGAGCCUGUCUGUCUUCGAGGAGUCCAGUUCUGACUCCUCCACUACAGAUGACGAGUAUUACCUGGGUGACGGGGAUGGAAAAGAAACCGAAUUCUAG